rnacentral:rRNA from 1 species
GACGAACGCUGGCGGCGUGCUUAACACAUGCAAGUCGAACGAAGUGGCGAACGGGUGGGUAACGCGUAAACAACCUGCCCUUCAGAGGGGGAUAACAGUUGGAAACGUCUGCUAAUACCGCAUACUGAAGGAGGGGAUUGCGUCUGAUUAGCCAGUUGGAGGUGUAACGUCACACCAAGGCGAUGAUCUGUAGCCGGUCUGAGAGGAUGACCGGGCACACGGGGACUGAGACACGGUCCAGACUCCUACGGGAGGCAGCAGUGGGGAAUUUUGGACAAUGGGGGAAACCCUGAUCCAGCCAUGCCGCGUGUGCGAUGAAGGCCUUCGGGUUGUAAAGCACUUUUGUCAGGGAAGCGGUACCUGCAGAAUAAGCACCGGCUAACUACGUGCCAGCAGCCGCGGUAAUUC